UAUAUUACAUCCUGCAUCGUGUUAUUUUAUUCGUCUGGCAUUUUCUUGUUGUCUUCUUCCAGCGGUUCUCUUUCCAUGCCGUUACCUCUUCACGGCCACAUGUGCUGAGAUUGCGGUCAGAAGUCAAAAAAAAAAAAAAAAAAAAAAAAAAAAUCGGGAAUUAACCCCAAAGUUACCCAUAGGUACAGAAAGAGGGGUGAGCUGUCAACUCAUCGAUCUUUGCAUUCGCCCUCGUUUGCCUGAGCUUUUGUGUUGCGAUUUACGUCAAGUUUUCGACUAUUAUUCAGACGCCCGUUUCGUCUCGCAGGAUCCAUACUAUUUAGUACCUCUCGGGAAGCUUGAGGGAAGCUUGAAAGCUUUUAUUCUCCCAGAUCGUCUAUUGAACGGGUUGAGGAUCUAGCUAAAAUAUCUAUUGCUCCGCUUCGAGAGAAGCUAUCUCGGACUCCGCUAGUAGCUUCACACCUCUCUUGAAAAGCUACCAGGAGAGAAGCACCUGGCUACUCGCGCUCUUCCACUUCUGGCUCAACUCUCCCUUCGCCACCAGCAGCAGCCGGCCUUCGUGACGAGCUGUCCUAAAGGAAACUUUCGUCUGGAUAGGUCCAACAGUAACUAACCCAGUAGAAUAUCGCCGCCGCAAAUCACUCCUCCUCGGGGAAUUAAACAAAAUUAUAGUGUCACACUCCACUCGAAGGUCUUUCGACUAUCCUGAGAUUCCACCUGCAGGUUUCCAUCAAGUGCUUCAGUGAGUGACCACUUUGUCCACCUUGUAAAAAUCCAUAUCGCAUUUAUCAAUCGGUCCCGAACGAUACCUGUUGGAAGGAAAGAAACUAUCAUCAUGUCAGAUGCCGAAUUUGGAUGUGAGCAUCUCAGGGACGUUCUAGAAAAAGACGAGAAAACUGCUAGCCAGUUCCAUCAUGCUCUCCUCCAGGCACAUCAGGGAGCGCCUCCCAAGCCUGCAGAAAUAAGGUCAUUGAAGCCCUUCUAUCCCUGUCUAGAGUGCUCUACGGUCUGCACAUUGGUGAGCCGGUAUACCCAUUUCCAGAACUCAGGCCACAAAUUUUUCACGGAUUCCCGAACCGGCACAAUAUUCUGCUUAGGAUGCGAUGAUUACGUUUACGACGCGGAGCUAGAGAGCUUCCUCUUCAACCCUUCAGUGCUUAAAAAACGUAAACUUGACUCUGGGAACGAUGACGAUCAAGCCUAUGUUAUUGCUAAUGCGAACAAGAGAGUAUGCGGGAAGGAAGGCGUUAGGGGUUUGUUUAACCUAGGCCAAACCUGCUAUAUGAAUGUCAUACUGCAAACAUUACUUCAUGACCCCCUUCUGACCACAUACUUUCUCGGAAAUAACCAUCAUACGUACGAUUGUACAAUCCAGAACUGCAUCAGCUGUGCUGUUUCUGAAGCCUUUGCCGAAUUUAAUAAUGACGACAAGACGGAAGGCUUUGGCGCGCUUAAUUUACUAUUAGCCUCAUGGAGAUCUAGUCCGAUGCUAUCUGGUUAUCAACAGCAGGAUGCGCAUGAAUUCUAUCAGUUUUUGGUAGACAAGUUACACGCAGGGGCUCAUGACCACGUUGAGGACCACAACAAAACAUGUCACUGCUUUUUCCAUAACGCUUUUUACGGAAAGCUGCGAAGCAGCGUAACUUGUGACAAGUGCGGGAAUGUCACACAGACGGAGGAUCAGAUGAUAGACCUCAGUUUGGACGUUCAAGUCCAGAAAAAAAAGCGAGCGCUUGGCGGUGGUGAGUCAACCGCGACCCCGACGCUUGACGGCUGCUUGCAGAGCUUUACCUCGCCGGAGAAGCUCAUGGCGGAUGCGUACAACUGUAGCGUCUGCGGAAGCACUCAGCAGAAAGCUACCAAGCAACUUCGAAUCAGAAAACUGCCUGUGAUAUUGUGUAUGCAGCUGAAGCGAUUCGAGCAUACUCUUUCCGUCUCGGAAAAAGUCGAAGGAAAAAUUGACUUCCCACUCUCUAUCAACAUGCUCCCAUAUACCACCCGUGCACACUACAAGAACGAAGGGGGCCAUUCAAAUUUUUUGUACGAUCUUUCCAGUGCUGUUGUCCACAAGGGCAAGCUCGACGCUGGACAUUAUUAUGUUUAUUGUCGACAGGGCGAGCAGUGGUACCUGUUCAACGAUGACCAAGUGACUGUAGUUAACGAGGCGGAGGUGUUAGCUGCCGACGCCUACCUUCUUUUCUACACCCUUCAUGCUCUGUCUGGAGCUAGCUAGCGUUAUUACUCGCCAUGAAGAUUUGUUUUCAUAUUAUUUUUCAUAUAAAUAUUCGUCACGUUGCUGUCUCCCUGCUCAAGUUGUUAUGUUGGGUCUACCCUUGCCAUUAGAAGCACGCGCCCAGGGAUGCAUACGCACAUUGGAGACAACCUUCUGGUCUUGACAUUCACACUCCGGUUUCCGUGGGGUUCUGGGUUGUUGUCACUUCGUGCGUCUUGCACUCCUCGCCUUCCGUUGUGCUCCGUCUAGAUCUCCUUCCUUCACUCUUCUCCAUGUUGGCCUCAAAGACCAAACCCAUGUCGCUAAUCAACUAUCCUUCCACCUCUCUCUGGCUCUAUUUAUUUGCUCAGAAGUC
rnacentral:sRNA from 1 species